AUUGAACGCUGGCGGCAGGCCUAACACAUGCAAGUCGAGCGAGCGGCGGACGGGUGAGUAAUGUAUGGGGACUGCCCGAUAGAGGGGGAUAACUACUGGAAACGGUGGCUAAUACCGCAUACUAUCAGAUAGCCUAGGUCGGAUUAGCUAGUUGGCGGGGUAAAGGCCUACCAAGGCGACGAUCCGUAACUGGUCUGAGAGGAUGAUCAGCCACACUGGGACUGAGACACGGCCCAGACUCCUACGGAGGCAGCAGUGGGGAAUAUUGCACAAUGGGCGCAAGCCUGAUGCAGCCAUGCCGCGUGUAUGAAGAAGGCCCUAGGGUUGUAAAGUACUUUCAGUCGGGAGGCGUUACCGACAGAAGAAGCACCGGCUAACUCCGUGCCAGCAGCCGCGGUAAUUC
rnacentral:rRNA from 1 species